CAUAGAUCUGAUCCGAACCAUUUUAAAGGACCCGUGGAUCCGAGUAGAGUUUUAAAAUUAGACAUGUUUCAUUUUUUGGAUCGGAUUUAGAUUUUUUAAAUUUUGAUCCGAUCCAAUCCAUGGAGACUUUUGGAUUGAUUUGGAUCCUGAGAUAAAUGACUCGAUCCAAUCCGACCCAAUCCAAACCCAAUAAUUUGAUAAAGGAAUAAUCUAUCCUCCCUUAUCCAAUGAUUUAAUGAAAAUG
rnacentral:lncRNA from 1 species